AGAAACCUUGACAGCAGAGUGACUGACAUUCCAUACAGACAAGAGGCUUGAACAACAGCAGCAUAUAGACAGCUAACACAUUAACACAGGUAAUCCCCUGGAAAGGCACAACAUGUAAUCUACUUAUAUCAACUUCUGUCCCGUCUGUCAAGAAAUCAGCUGAAAUGUCAUUGUUUUUAUUCAGUCCCCCUCCUUUGAUUCUAUCUUCAUCUAUCUAUGCUGUUUGGGUCCAACGUGUGUCCUUAUGACAAAGCAUCAUUAAGUUCAUUAUCUAAGGUGUGUUAUCUUCAGUUUCUAACUCAAUAAGACUUGAUGCAGGUUGAUAUGACUAUAAAGAGACAUGCAACAUUAUAAUCUCUACAAUCAAAAUGACACAUUAAAGGUGUUCAAUUCCAAAUACUUGCUAUUGACGUUUCGUUAUCUGUAUCCACUGUGUCUUUUCUCCUACAUAUAUUGUUUUUACUAACAGACUGAAACUGUGAUUAUGGAUCCUAGUGUUUAGCAGAGAUAAAUCAUUACAAUGUCUGUCCUUUGUUUAAGUCUACCUUCAUGACCCAAGAGAAACAAGAGAAAGGGUGUGCCACAUCAUACAUUUGUCUGUGAGCUGGACUGUACAUGUCUUUUUUUUCUUUUUAUACAUGAAAGAACAUAAGUAUCCUUAAGUAGGAAGCCUCCAUAGAGUUGUUGUUAAGCAUGUUAUGUGUGGUCAUACAGCUGUUUGUUGGUCACUGUGAAAGAGGAGCAUAGAGAACAUACUAGAAUACCACUGGAGCUCAGGCUGCUGCUGAGGGGAGAACGGCUCAUAAUAAUGUCCGGAACGGCGCCGAUGGAAUGGCAUCAAACACCUGGAAAUCAUGUGUUUGGUGUAUUUGAUACCAUUCCACCUACGCCUCUCCAGCCAUUACCACGAGCCCAUUCUCCUCAAUUAAUGUGUGACCAACCUCCUGUGCACUGGAGUCAUACAUGUCAUAUGGAUGACAAGUCAGGUCAUAUUGAAGGGCAGAGAAUGUUCCCAUUGCAUUCAAUGUGUUCAAACAAUAAAAC
ensembl:lncRNA